GUAUUGUAUUGCGUUAAACGCGGUGCACAUUCCAUAAGACUUUGUUACAGUGUGUGUGUAAAAACGUAGGACCACAGCAAGGGGACGGUGUCCUCCAGGCCAUAGAACUACAGAGGGUGCACAGGUGUGAGUGGAUGUGUAAACAGAGCGUGCACGUGCCCCCCUUCGAGGGCCAGCAACAACUCGUGUCGACAAUUCGGUAAUGAUCCUUCCGCAGGUUCACCUACGGAAA
rnacentral:misc_RNA from 1 species